rnacentral:rRNA from 1 species
AUUGAACGCUGGCGGCAGGCCUAACACAUGCAAGUCGAGCGGAGCGGCGGACGGGUGAGUAAUGCCUAGGAAUCUGCCUGGUCGUGGGGGAUAACGUCCGUAAACGGGCGCUCAUACCGCAUACUCUCAGAUGAGCCUCGGUCGGAUGAGCUAGUUGGGGGGGUAAAUGCCUACCAAGGAGACGAUCCGUAACUGGUCUGAGAGGAUGAUCAGUCCAACUGGAACUGAGAACCGUGCCAGACUCCUACGGGAGGCAGCAGUGGGGAAGAUUGGACAAUGGGCGAAAGCAUGAGCCAGCCAUGCCGCGUGUGUGAAGAAGGUCUUCGGAUUGUAAAGCACUUUAAGUUGGGAGGCGUUACCAACAGAAUAAGCACCGGCUAACUUCGUGCCAGCAGCCGCGGUAAUUC